UACAGAGGAGCCAAGCGUUGUCCGGAUUGACUGGGCGUAAAGCGCACGCAGGCGGUCGCGCGCGUGGGGUGUGAAAUCUGGCCGCUUAACGGCCAGGCGCCAUCCCAUACGGCGCGACUGGAGUGAUGCAGAGGUCGGUGGAAUUGCCGGUGUAGUGGUGAAAUGCGUAGAGAUCGGCAGGAACACCCCAGGGGGAAACCAGCCGACUGGGCAUCAACUGACGCUGAGGUGCGAGAGCGUGGGGAGCGAACCGG
rnacentral:rRNA from 1 species